CAGAGGUUAGUUUAUAGAAAAUGAUUCAUUUACAUUGAAUAGAUAUAAGUGCAAUUCUUUAAUCUCUGA
rnacentral:tRNA from 1 species